rnacentral:rRNA from 1 species
AUACGUAGGAUCCGAGCGUUAUCCGGAUUUAUUGGGCUUAAAGGGUGCGCAGGCGGCUAUUUAAGUCAGCGGUUAAAUCGAGGGGCUCAACCCCAUUCUGCCGUUGAUACUGGGCGGCUUGAAUGCGUUCGGGGUUGGCGGGAUUCGUUGUGUUGCGGGUAAAUGCAUAGAUAUGACGAAGAACACAGAUUGCGUAGGCAGCUGACCAGACCGCAAAUGACGCUCAUGCACGAAAGUGCGGGGAUAGAACAGGAUUAGAUACCCUGGUAGUCCGUACAGUAAACGAUGAAUACUUGUUUUCGGCGAUAUAAUGUCGGAGGCAAAGCGAAAGCGAUAAGUACUCCACCUGGGGAGUACGCCGGCAACGGUGAAACUCAAAGGAAUUGACGGGG